CGGGAAGGGAGUAGAUCGUCCUCGCCAUGCCGGGAGACGACCAGCCGGGCGGCGACGCUAACGACGACGCUACGGAAAAAGGACAGAGAGGACGUCUUGGCGCACGCCGCGCAACACUUUUGAAAGAGUGAUUGAAGACAUUUGAAUGCCAACGGAGGCCGUUAAGAAUUUUGACGGAUGUGCGGGGACGAAGAUGAAGAUUUUGAAGAGGAUGAGCAAAAAGAUACAGGAACAGGAACGUCAGGUGUCAACACUCACACUGCUGCUGCCAGUUUUCCUUGCUGCUUGUCACAUCGUCGGCGUGCUCAUUUUCCUCCGAUGACGACUCAUCUUCGUCUUCGUCAUCAUCCUCCUCAUCCUCAGACGAUACCGUCUCCGGAUCGACUGAGAGGACAAAAUUCAAGUGUCAGCACUUGUUUCCAGCUGUUUGUCCGCUUCUCUCAUGUGACCGUGAUGACCAAUCGUUGCUCAUAAGGCGUCUUCGCUUUCAAAAUGGACACGGCGGCGCGCACAUUGUUCAUGUGUCUGGACAGGAAGUCUCAGUGGGCCAACACCCUACUGACAAAGAAUUCUUAUGAGUACUUUCAAGAAGUUUCUUUGCUAGGCCUGCAAUCUAUCCCUGGAUUGGUCGCCAUACAUUUUCCAGGACACGUGGAGACAAACAAUGGACUGGUCACCUGUCCACGUCAUGUAAAGAACGGACUACCCGCCAAUCCGUGUCAAGCCACAAUGAACCAAACGGAGUGGUCUCACCUGCGGGUGGGCGGUGGUGAGCGGCGGAGGGGCGUGGCCGGGCCACCGGAAGUAGAACCAUGAGCACCAACGGCAGCAGCAGCAGGCGGCCCCACAGCGCCAUCUUGUGUCAAACCAGCGUGCGGUUGUCACUUCCCGUGCCCACAAACUCCAAAUCAAGACAGCAGAUUCACAUUUUCACGAAAUAGAACGAAUACAGGUCCGGCCACGCCCAUAUCAUGCCGAACACCCAAUAGAAAGGCGGUGGGCGGAGACAUCAAGAUGCGAAGGACUGACGCGCACACGCCAAAGUAUGUGCGCGCACCUCACAUUUUUUUUGACUCUCAAGAAUGUUAAACAUUCGCUGCGUGGAUGACGUCACGCCAAACCAAACAAAAAAAAUGCAGUUGAAUCUUGUUUCUUAGUCGUUUUAAGUUAUUUUUAGGUUCAGAGACGUACCUGACCGUCGUCCAAUCAGCUGCCACGAUGCCAAGCGCGCGCCGGACGACAAAACAUCCACUCGGUUAACAGCUCGCGCACGUGAGGUCGUCACCGCCAAGGGUGGGUGGGUCACUCCCGCACCACAAUGUGGACACAUCUGGAACAUUCCAGCUCACCAAACCCUGACCAACACUUCCUGUUUUGCUCACCGCCAAGCUCAUUCGAGAGCAUGCAAGCGUUGGAGCAUUUCUUCCUGAUCCAGAGAGUCCACGUACUGUUUUGGCCUCGCCACUAAAUUCUUGACUU